GGAGAGACAAAUGCUUCUCUGUAUAUAUUUAAGAAACUCACCGUAAUAGUACGAGACUUCGAGAGGCGUCAUUCAAGGAGGGAGGUGGACGGUGGUGGCCAUCUGUGCUUUGCACAAGGGGCAAGGGCUGCUGCAACGCCAAGGAAAACGGGCUGAAUAUCGUCCAUGCUACCCAGACUUGGAGACCUGGCAGUGUAAUCCUCUGAUCGCAGUGAGAGUGACCCGGGAUCAGAAGAUAAAGAAAGCAAUAUGCAAGAGGCCCUGCUAGUAGUCGGAGUCAGGGUGUGUUAAAAUAUUGAAGAGUAGUUCAUGGAUUUUAGAUUC